AAGAGCUGUACUUCUUGAUAUCAAUGCAUAUGUUCUUCAACUCUUGGCAGCAAUGGCAGCAGCCAUGGAAAUUCAAUUGGAAUGGUCGUAACUUAUAAGUUAAAGUCUUAAGCCUAUCACAAGUACAGAUCAUCAUCAGAUGACGAAUCUCUAAAGUUGAAGAUAUCUACUUGGUAGUCUAAACCUCAAAGGAGCUUAGGGAAGUGAUGGCAGUUGCAGGGUAUGAACCAGACGACCAUGCAGAGACCAACGAGGCGACCAAACAGUCCAUCGUGCAUACCACAUAACCAGGUCCAGAAUGCCAGUUUUCUUUAAGGGCAGCUGACAAUAAGAAUUGUCUAUGUAUGCACUACAGAUGCUGUUCAAUAUCUUUUCAUGAGGAAGCCUGCUCAAAAAGAUCGCCACAUUGUCUUUAGGGGAAGUUGACAUUAAUCUUUUAGGUUAAUAAUAACCUAUUAGAUGCAUGCAGUACAGAUGCUGUUCAUCUUUUCAUAAGCAAGCCUGCUCAAGAAGCUGCUGCAUGGAAGUCAAAAUAUGAAUUAUUGCCACCAGUCUUGAAGUCAGCUUGUAAAGAAUGCUAAGAAUUGAAUGAAAAUGCUGUCUUGAUAUCUUGUUUGUGCUGUUAUAUUUGUCUUUUGUGUUGGUUAAUUAUUCCAUGAAUAAAAAAUAAAAAAAAGUUAA